CCUACGGGAGGCAGCAGUGAGGAAUAUUGGUCAAUGGACGAAAGUCUGAACCAGCCAAGUAGCGUGAAGGAUGACUGCCCUAUGGGUUGUAAACUUCUUUUAUAUGGGAAUAAAAUGAUCCACGUGUGGGAUUUUGUAUGUACCAUAUGAAUAAGGAUCGGCUAACUCCGUGCCAUCAGCCGCGGUAAUACGGAGGAUACGAGCGUUAUCCGGAUUUAUUGGGUUUAAAGGGAGCGUAGGUGGAUUGUUAAGUCAGUUGUGAAAGUUUGCGGCUCAACCGUAAAAUUGCAGUUGAAACUGGCAGUCUUGAGUACAGUAGAGGUAGGCGGAAUUCGUGGUGUAGCGGUGAAAUGCUUAGAUAGCACGAAGAACUCCGAUUGCGAAGGCAGCUCACUGGACUGUAACUGACACUGAGGCUCGAAAGUGUGGGUAUCAAACAGGAUUAGAUACCCUUGUAGUC
rnacentral:rRNA from 1 species